GCCUCCUCCCUCUGGCCUGCGCGCCGCGUGUGCGCGCCGGAGCGUGUGUGAGUGUGUACGAGGCGGAGUGUGUGUGUGUGUGUGUAUGUAUGUGUGUGCGUGCGUGCGUGAGUGUGUGUAUGUGUGUGUGCGCCCGGGGCACCGCCGGCGCCGCCCGCUCGCCGCCGAGCGCCAAGGCCACUGUUACUGCCGCGCCCACUGCCGGCCGCACUCCGCACUGCAGCCCUGGACUAGCCACCGCCGCCCGGUGCCGCCCCGAGGGCACGGCCGCCGCCCCGCAAACCCCAAGCGCUCGCGAAGCCCCGCUUGGAAGGAUCGCGGAGCUCCACGGCUAGGUUCGUUCAGAUUAUGGAAGAUGUGACUCACUCGGCUCGUGAGCCACGGGUGGCGGUGGACUCGCACGCCACAGGGUCGCCCAGCUGGCCACCUCCUCCGAGGUGCCCUCUGACUCCGUUCCGAAAGGCGUGGAGAUCCUACCCGGGUUUUCCGCUUGGUGGCCGCUCGAGGGCGUUAGCUCUGGACUGGGAACAGCGGAGGACCUAGGAAGAAGGGUUGGUGGGUAUCAAAACCAGGAAUGGAAUCUGUUGCCUGCGCUGGGCCUCGGCCUGACAGUCUUGUCUUUCCCAGAGCUGGUGCGCUGCAGGAACAGAUAGGACUAGAAUCUCCACCUUCCGUGGGGUACUACGCAUCGCAACCUUUCCCAUCUAUCCCAGCUCCGGGAGCAAAGAGAGCAGCUGUUCAGCCCCUCUUCAUUCCUCUCUCGACCCUGUUCUCCCGGGCCUCCCCUUUCAUUUGUCCCAGUGUGCCCCUGAAAGAAAUGAAAUCCCCUUCUCCUGUCAACCUUGAGGACUCUUGGCGCGCUCUCUGCUAUCUGCUCCCUUGAUCUGUUUAACAUUUUCCAAAUCUGGAGGACUCCGUUUUUCUCUACAGAACUGAGACUAUUUGCUUCUGGGGCAAGGAAGAGGCAGAAUCAUGUCCCAAGAACUUUGAAGGCCCAGGACCGAACCAUGGGGAUCAGAGAGAUGCUGUAUACUCUCCAUUCUCAUGUUUUGCUUGUUGAAGAAAUCACUUCAGAAGAAAUCUAACCUCAAACCAUUUUGCUACAUUUGAAGGCUAUUCUCUCCUGAUGUUGCAUCCUGAGAGCUCAGCCAGUCGGGAGCUCCUGCCUUCUAAGCACUCACAAGGACUAGGCAGAGGCAGGAAAUGGAUUCUGCAGGAGAGCUCAGGUCCUUGGACAAAGAACCCAGGAGACUGUGAAUUACUCACCCCCCAACCCUGCCCUCAGGCCCUGACUCUUCUUAGAAGAGGUCCUGGGCCUCUGGAGGGGGCCUUCAGAAGAGGCCCUUUCCUUCCAGAUGGGCCCCUAUGUCCUGAGUUCCAUGACGUGAAGGAAGCAUUCAGAGCACCUAGUCGCCCAAGGAUUGGCUUGCUGCAUGCCUUGGACCCCUCAGGCCUGUUUCCCAUCUGGUGCAGUCAUUGAAAUCAGGUGUCCUGGGUCAGCUGCAGGCUGAGAGUAAGAGCAGGGAGGGACAUUUUGUCCCUCUGGAGCAGAUGCCAGGCCUCCUCUCUCCCAAACAGGGCCCCCGAGGCCACCUGGCUAUGUUGCUAGGCCACGACAUGGAGGCAGGACUCCUGGGUCCGCCAGCUUCUUUGCUGGCGUGAUCUCCACGCUGCUGUUUCCCUACAGUGCCUGUCCCCUCACCCCCACCCACCAGACUACAGGAUGAAUUAUUAAUAAAAAUGCUGAGGAA